AUUGAACGCUGGCGGCAUGCUUUACACAUGCAAGUCGAACGGUAACGGGCCGCAAGGUGCUGACGAGUGGCGAACGGGUGAGUAAUGCAUCGGAACGUGCCCAGUCGUGGGGGAUAACGCAGCGAAAGCUGCGCUAAUACCGCAUACGAUCUAUGGAUGAAAGCGGGGGACCGAAAGGCCUCGCGCGAUUGGAGCGGCCGAUGUCAGAUUAGGUAGUUGGUGGGGUAAAGGCUCACCAAGCCAACGAUCUGUAGCUGGUCUGAGAGGACGACCAGCCACACUGGGACUGAGACACGGCCCAGACUCCUACGGGAGGCAGCAGUGGGGAAUUUUGGACAAUGGGCGCAAGCCUGAUCCAGCAAUGCCGCGUGCAGGAAGAAGGCCUUCGGGUUGUAAACUGCUUUUGUACGGAACGAAAAGGCUCUGGUUAAUACCUGGGGCUCAUGACGGUACCGUAAGAAUAAGCACCGGCUAACUACGUGCCAGCCGCCGCCGUAAAAC
rnacentral:rRNA from 1 species